UUGCCUUUGAUGUGAUUUUUGGAAUCGAUUGGUUAACUACUCAUCAUGCUUUUCGUAAGGAUAUUAGCUUUUUUAUUCCUAACCAACCUGUUAUGCGAAUUCAAGAAACCAAACCACUAAAGUCAAUCACCGUUAUAUCAAGCCAUAAGUAAAGAGCCCCAAUCCUUUCGUUGUUGACUUCCUUGUGUGGAAUGCACCGAAGCCAG
rnacentral:lncRNA from 1 species